UUUGAUCACACGCCGAAUCCUGCCGGUGAUCGGAGGCACUUGACGCGCAAGCGCCGAAGGCAGGAGCGGGGGAACCAAGGUAAGUGCCGGCCCCGCCCGUGAAAGCGGGUCAGCCGGCUUGGGGUGAAGCCACGUGCGCCACGCGCACACGGCCGGGCGAUUCUCACAGCCCGAACCCGACAGCUCACCUCGUAGGCGUCGGUGAGGAAACGA
rfam:Streptomyces sp. 2114.4 genome assembly, contig: Ga0151178_11